rnacentral:rRNA from 1 species
CUCAACCUGGGAACUGCAUUUGUGACUGCAAGGCUGGAGUGCGGCAGAGGGGGAUGGAAUUCCGCGGUCGUAAGCAGUGCAAAUGCGUAGAUAUGCGGAGGAACACCGAUGGCGAAGGCAAUCCCCUGGGCCUGCACUGACNCUCAUGCACGAAAGCGUGGGGAGCAAACAGGAUUAGAUACCCUGGUAGUCCACGCCCUAAACGAUGUCAACUGGUUGUUGGGUCUUCACUGACUCAGUAACGAAGCUAACGCGUGAMGUUGACCGCCUGGNGAGUACNGCCGCAAGUUGAAACUCAAAGGAAUUGAC